rnacentral:rRNA from 1 species
GAGUCGGAGGGUGAGUCACACCUGGGUCACCUGCCCAUAAGACUGGGAUAACUCCGGGAAACCAGGGCUUAUACCGUAGAACGAUUUGAACCGCAAGGGUGGAAAUUGCAACGCGGCAUCGGCGGUCCCUUAUGGAUGGACCCGCGUCGCGGUAUCUAGUUCGUGAGGUAACGGCUCACCAAGGCGACGAUACGUAGCCAACCUGAGAGGGUGAUCGGCCACACUGGGACUGAGACACGGCCCAGACUCCUACGGGAGGCAGCAGUAGGGAAUCUUCCGCAAUGGACGAAAGUCUGACGGAGCAACGCCCCGUGAGUGAUGAAGGCUUUCGGGUCGUAAAACUCUAUUGUUAGGGAAAAACAAGUGCUAGUUGAAUAAGCUUGCACCUUGACCGUACCUUACCCAAAAGGCGGGGCGGAAUACGUGCCAACAGCCGGGGUAAUACUUAGGUUGGUUAUCCUUUUCGGAGAAGUUGGGCGUUAACGCCCCCCAGAUGGGGGUUUAAAAAUUUUUUAAUAAAGAGCCGGGUGUCACACACGGGGGGUGGCUCUUCAAAAACGGGGACCCCGGGGGGUGCGAGAGAAAGAGGGGUUCCCCAAUGUGUAGUGGAAAACAGAAAAAAUAUGGGGGAAAAACGGGUGUGUAGAAGGAGUUUUGUUUUUUACCCGGGGAAGCCAAACCGCGUUGGGAGCAAACAGGUAUUAAAACACCGUUGUUGUCCACCCCGUAAAGGGCGAGUGCUAGUUGUUAGAGGGUUUACUACCCUCAGUGCCGAAGUUAACGCACUAAGCACUCCGCCUGGGGAGUACGGCCGCAAGAUUGAAACUCAAAGGAAAUGAGGGGGGCCCGCACAAGCGGUGGAGCAUGUGGUUUAAUUCGAAGCAACGCGAAGAACCUCACCAGGUCUUGACAUCCUUUGAAAACCCCAAAAAAAGGGGUUUUCCUUCGGGAGAAGAGUGACCGGUGGUGCAUGGUCUCGUCAGCUCGUGUCGUGAGAUGUUGGGUUAAGUCCCGCAACGAGCGCAACCCUUAAUUUUAGUUGCCAUCAUUAAGUUGGGCACUCUAAGGUGACGGCCGUUGACAAACCGGAGGAAGGUGGGGAUGACGUCAAAUCAUCAUGCCCCUUAUGACCUGGGCUACACACUUGCUACAAUGGUCGGUACAAAGAGAUGCAAGACCGCGAGGGGAAGCCAAUCUCUUAAAACCCUCCUCAGUUGGGAUUGCGGGCUGCAACUCGCCUAC